rnacentral:SRP_RNA from 10 species
UUGGCGCGGUGGGGGAAAGCGGCAGUGAAACGGCCGCGGAAAGCAAGCAAGCAAAAGGAAUCACACCG